CAGCCACAUCACGUGGAAACACCAGUUUCCGUACGAUCACCAAAGUAAAGCAACGAGCCGGGUCAAUACCUAGAUAGGUGGCCGCUUGGGAAUACCAGGGGUUGUAAG